CCCUAUAUGUACGCGCACAGGGGCUUCUCCGGCGGCCAUCUGCUAAACGCAUGGCUUUAUUGGCCGACGAAAAAAAUCGGCUAUAAAUCAAGCGUCUUAUUUCUUGUAUUUCUCCUUUCUACGAAAUCAGGUUAAAUUUCUUUGUUAACCGUUAUAACAAGAGAGUUGUUACAAGACAGUUUUCUCUGCGAAUCCAGACAUGCUUUAGCAUAUGUCAGUCGCAGAAACCACUGUCACUUAUAUACCGUGUUUUACGGUAACCUCCAGCGCUCCGUGCUGCUGCUCGCUUGCAUGAUCCAAAGCUAGCGCGCUGUACAGCCCGCGGUCUGAGACUGGCCAUGCCAGCAGGUGCUAAACAAGUAACACUGGCAUUUAAUAUGAUUUCUUAUUUAAAAAAAAUGUAUCACAAGCAACUUAAAAUAGAGGAAACCCCCAGCAGGUAGCUGCUCCGCCAGGCACCUUGCAUCGCCAUUAUACAUGAGUAAUGAAUGAAGCCCGCUGCAUGAGCCCACAGGUGUGUGUUGUCAUGGAGUUUUAUUGGAGCCUGGCUCUCCUGCUGAGUGUCCCGGAUGUUGUCGACCAGACACACUCACUCCUUGAAUUUCUGACAGGUUGAAUUUGGACAUUUUUUCUUUCUUCCUCUUCUUUUUCUUUUUUUUUCUUUCUUUCAAGCAUUAGGAGUUCAAGUUCAGGUUCUGCUCAAUCUGAUUUCACUGCAUGUAUUCCACUCCAAGUCACAUAUUCAGCAGCACCUUUCAUCACCCAGUUUCCUCAAGAUGAAUUUUUUUUAGGCUUAAAGGAAAUUGCUUGUGUUUAAAGGCAGCGGUCUGAAUGCUAUUGAAAACCUCGUCUCAAGAAACAUCUGGUGACCUCAGAAGUGUGAACUACACACAGGAACAAGUGCGGCUGGUUAGAGACACCGCUCGAGAGAUAUCAUGCAUGUACAAGUCCGAUCAACCUAUAAACCUUGACAAGGGGAAUGUUCGAGACGAAUAAAGCGCUCCUCCCGUGAUGCAGUCCUUUAAGCACAGAUGCCACUUUGGCCGGCAGUCUCAGUCUGACCAGCUCGGACUGAGACGAAUUAGAAAGCAGCGCAAAAACAAGGCAGGCAAGUGUCUGAGCAAAAAGGCAUUCUACAUUAUUUUUUCUCUCUUUUUUUUUUUCUUAAGUUUUUUUUUUUUUUUUUUUUUUUUUUUUGGUUCUUUGGGGGGGAAAAAGUUCACAAAAGCUGUCACUUUAUCACCUUUAGCUGUUGCCUGGUAAAUUGUUUGGUCUUGUAAUUAUGACCAGAAAGUUAAACGUCUAAACAGAGUUACCAAAGUCCUAUGUCAGUUCCCCAAACAUUAGACGUGCCCGCCCCCUUUUUUUUUUUUUUUUUUAAAGCACACCUGCUAACAGAAGAAAGUGUCUUUCA